GGUUAAGCGACUAAGCGUACACGGUGGAUGCCCUGGCAGUCAGAGGCGAUGAAGGACGUGCUAAUCUGCGAAAAGCGUCGGUAAGGUGAUAUGAACCGUUAUAGCCGGCGAUGUCCGAAUGGGGAAACCCAGUGCAAUUCGUUGCACUAUCGUUAACUGAAUACAUAGGUUAACGAGGCGAACCGGGGGAACUGAAACAUCUAAGUACCCCGAGGAAAAGAAAUCAACCGAGAUUCCCCCAGUAGCGGCGAGCGAACGGGGAGCAGCCCAGAGUCUGAAUCAGCUUGUGUGUUAGUGGAACGGUCUGGAAAGUCCGACGGUACAGGGUGAUAGUCCCGUACACCAAAAUGCACAGGCUGUGAACUCGAAGAGUAGGGCGGGACACGUGGUAUCCUGUCUGAAUAUGGGGGGACCAUCCUCCAAGGCUAAAUACUCCUGACUGACCGAUAGUGAACCAGUACCGUGAGGGAAAGGCGAAAAGAACCCCGGCGAGGGGAGUGAAAAAGAACCUGAAACCGUGUACGUACAAGCAGUGGGAGCACCUUCGGGUGUGACUGCGUACCUUUUGUAUAAUGGGUCAGCGACUUAUAUUCUGUAGCAAGGUUAACCGUAUAGGGGAGCCGCAGGGAAACCGAGUCUUAACUGGGCGUUAAGUUGCAGGGUAUAGACCCGAAACCCGGUGAUCUAGCCAUGGGCAGGUUGAAGGUUGGGUAACACUAACUGGAGGACCGAACCGACUAAUGUUGAAAAAUUAGCGGAUGACUUGUGGCUGGGGGUGAAAGGCCAAUCAAACCGGGAGAUAGCUGGUUCUCCCCGAAAGCUAUUUAGGUAGCGCCUCGUGAAUUCAUCUUCGGGGGUAGAGCACUGUUUCGGCUAGGGGGUCAUCCCGACUUACCAACCCGAUGCAAACUACGAAUACCGAAGAAUGUUAUCACGGGAGACACACGGCGGGUGCUAACGUCCGUCGUGAAGAGGGAAACAACCCAGACCGCCAGCUAAGGUCCCAAAGUCAUGGUUAAGUGGGAAACGAUGUGGGAAGGCACAGACAGCCAGGAUGUUGGCUUAGAAGCAGCCAUCAUUUAAAGAAAGCGUAAUAGCUCACUGGUCGAGUCGGCCUGCGCGGAAGAUGUAACGGGGCUAAACCAUGCACCGAAGCUGCGGCAGCGACACUAUGUGUUGUUGGGUAGGGGAGCGUUCUGUAAGCCUGCGAAGGUGUGCUGUGAGGCAUGCUGGAGGUAUCAGAAGUGCGAAUGCUGACAUAAGUAACGAUAAAGCGGGUGAAAAGCCCGCUCGCCGGAAGACCAAGGGUUCCUGUCCAACGUUAAUCGGGGCAGGGUGAGUCGACCCCUAAGGCGAGGCCGAAAGGCGUAGUCGAUGGGAAACAGGUUAAUAUUCCUGUACUUGGUGUUACUGCGAAGGGGGGACGGAGAAGGCUAUGUUAGCCGGGCGACGGUUGUCCCGGUUUAAGCAUGUAGGCUGAUUGUCCAGGCAAAUCCGGAUAAUCAAGGCUGAGGUGUGAUGACGAGGCACUACGGUGCUGAAGUAACAAAUGCCCUGCUUCCAGGAAAAGCCUCUAAGCAUCAGGUAACAUCAAAUCGUACCCCAAACCGACACAGGUGGUCAGGUAGAGAAUACCAAGGCGCUUGAGAGAACUCGGGUGAAGGAACUAGGCAAAAUGGUGCCGUAACUUCGGGAGAAGGCACGCUGGUGUGUAGGUGAAGUCCCUGCGGAUGGAGCUGAGACCAGUCGAAGAUACCAGCUGGCUGCAACUGUUUAUUAAAAACACAGCACUGUGCAAACACGAAAGUGGACGUAUACGGUGUGACGCCUGCCCGGUGCCGGAAGGUUAAUUGAUGGGGUUAUCCGUAAGGAGAAGCUCUUGAUCGAAGCCCCGGUAAACGGCGGCCGUAACUAUAACGGUCCUAAGGUAGCGAAAUUCCUUGUCGGGUAAGUUCCGACCUGCACGAAUGGCGUAAUGAUGGCCAGGCUGUCUCCACCCGAGACUCAGUGAAAUUGAACUCGCUGUGAAGAUGCAGUGUACCCGCGGCAAGACGGAAAGACCCCGUGAACCUUUACUAUAGCUUGACACUGAACAUUGAGCCUUGAUGUGUAGGAUAGGUGGGAGGCUUUGAAGCGUGGACGCCAGUCUGCGUGGAGCCAACCUUGAAAUACCACCCUUUAAUGUUUGAUGUUCUAACGUUGGCCCCUGACCGGGGUUGCGGACAGUGUCUGGUGGGUAGUUUGACUGGGGCGGUCUCCUCCCAAAGCGUAACGGAGGAGCACGAAGGUUAGCUAAUCCUGGUCGGACAUCAGGAGGUUAGUGCAAUGGCAUAAGCUAGCUUGACUGCGAGCGUGACGGCGCGAGCAGGUGCGAAAGCAGGUCAUAGUGAUCCGGUGGUUCUGAAUGGAAGGGCCAUCGCUCAACGGAUAAAAGGUACUCCGGGGAUAACAGGCUGAUACCGCCCAAGAGUUCAUAUCGACGGCGGUGUUUGGCACCUCGAUGUCGGCUCAUCACAUCCUGGGGCUGAAGUAGGUCCCAAGGGUAUGGCUGUUCGCCAUUUAAAGUGGUACGCGAGCUGGGUUUAGAACGUCGUGAGACAGUUCGGUCCCUAUCUGCCGUGGGCGCUGGAGAAUUGAGGGGGGCUGCUCCUAGUACGAGAGGACCGGAGUGGACGCAUCACUGGUGUUCGGGUUGUCAUGCCAAUGGCACUGCCCGGUAGCUAAAUGCGGAAGAGAUAAGUGCUGAAAGCAUCUAAGCACGAAACUUGCCCCGAGAUGAGUUCUCCCUGAGACUUUAAGUCUCCUGAAGGAACGUUAAAGACGAUGACGUUGAUAGGCCGGGUGUGUAAGCGCAGCGAUGCGUUGAGCUAACCGGUACUAAUGAACCGUGAGGCUUAACCUU
rnacentral:rRNA from 1 species